rnacentral:rRNA from 1 species
AGAGUUUGAUCCUGGCUCAGAUUGAACGCUGGCGGCAUGCUUUACACAUGCAAGUCGAACGGCAGCACGGGGGCAACCCUGGUGGCGAGUGGCGAACGGGUGAGUAAUACAUCGGAACGUACCCAGUAGUGGGGGAUAACCAGUCGAAAGACUGGCUAAUACCGCAUACGACCUUUGGGUGAAAGCGGGGGAUCGCAAGA